AUACGUGUCGCGAUGA
rnacentral:rRNA from 1 species